rnacentral:tRNA from 1 species
GCGGGAUUAGUACAGUGGCAGUAUGCCUGCUUCCCAAGCAGAAGACGCGAGUUCGAUUCUCGUAUCCCGCU